GGCGCUCGCAGCCCCUCGUGGCGUCCACGCGGCCCGGCGGCUGCCAUUUCCACGCCUCUGGCCUGGUGAGGGCCAGGGCGAUGUGCUGAAAAGCCAGAGGGGAGGAAAACGUUCCCGGAGCUGCGUCUUCUCCAGGUCAACAACAUGGAGGAAUAGGAAAGAGCUUUUGCAAAUAAAUGGAGGAAUGAAGCACCAGGAAGUGUCUGGAAACCAUAGCAACAUGGUCUUGCUGAAGAGUAAAACGUGAAGAGACGCAGCUGAGGGUGCUGAAUGCUAACACAGGAAAGAACGCAUGGACCUGCCACAGUCUGAAAGAAGGUAUAAUCUGCAGUCCUGCGCUACAAGAAUAUUAAACAGAGCCCUUUAAGCAGAAGAAAAACAAUACUAGAGAGAAAUACAAAGGAAUUUGGAGCACCAGAUGUUUCUUAGGUGAGAGUCCUAGAAAGAGAAUUACUUCAUGAAAGGAUAGAAACAUGCUUGAAGCUCUGGGUCCUAAUGUUCCCCUGGGCUCUACACCAGGUAGAACCGUAUUCCUUCGGAUACAUAUAUUUUCACUCAUGGACCACUAACACAAGACAAACAGUACAACUUGAGAGAAUUUGAAAAUACUGCUUUUCAGCCUCCAGGAAAUUCUCCCAACUGAAAUUAGAAUUGGACAGGUUUUAUAUACUUUACAAACACUUCACAUGAGAUGAUCAAGCUAACUGGUAGAUAUUUAUUACUGAAAUAUAGGUGCAUUUUCCUUUAAGUAUUUUGAGAGUCUGUCUACAGUGCCUCUGUUAUAUUCAUUCAACUUAUUCUUAUAUUCUCAAACAAUGAAGCUUCUCAACUGGUGAGAUGUUGCCAGGGAUUUCAACAGAAUUUGAAGGCAACAUAACCAAAAGGCAUAGUUUAAAUUGGCUUAGGGAAUGAAUGGGCUCCUAUGUGAGCAGCUGAAGGCUGUAUACAAUGACCAGCAUCUGUCCACAUUCACAGGGUCCCCUGUAGAACACGCAGGCCCUACAGCCCCACAGAGCUGCACCCUUCAGCUUCCGGCACCUUCCAAUCCACAUGACCUGAAGACAGAAAGACGGCCUCGAGCCGCAUCACUAAAGGGACAAUGAAACAUUUCAGUGAUAUUGGCAAGACCAUAAAGCAACUGAUAAUUAAUGUUAAUUAUCUAGAACAAUUCUAUUAACCUUGGGAUUGGGGCUUCAAAUUAACUGGCUAUCAUAAAAAAUAAAAAUGUUACCUAUAAAUUUAU